GACGAACGCUGGCGGCGUGCCUAACACAUGCAAGUCGAACGGAAAGGCCCUGCUUUUGUGGCGUGCUCGAGUGGCGCACGCGUGAGUAACACGUGAGUAACCUGCCCUUGUCUUUGGGAUAACUUCAGGAAACUGGGGCUAAUACCGCAUAUGAGCUCCUGCUGCAUGUUGUGGGUUGGAAAGUUUCGGCGGUUGUGGAUCGACUCGCGGCUUAUCAGCUUGUUUGUGAGGUAGUGGCUUACCAAGGCUUUGACGGGUAGCCGGCCUGAGAGGGUGACCGGCCACAUGGGGACUGAGGGACGGCGCAGACUCCUACGGGAGGCAGCAGUGGGAAAUAUGGCACAGUGGGCGGAAGCCUGAUGCAGCAACGCUGCGUGCGGGAUGACGGCCUACGGGUUGUAAACCGCUUUGGCAGGUGACGAAGCGUGAGUGACGGUAAUGGGUAAAGAAGCACCGGCUAACUACGUG
rnacentral:rRNA from 1 species